AGACGGAGGGGGCUAGCGUUGUUCGGAAUUACUGGGCGUAAAGCGCGCGUAGGCGGUCCGUUUAGUUAGGCGUGAAAGGCCUGGGCUCAACCCGGGAACUGCGCUUAAAACUGGCGGGCUAGAGUCCGGGAGAGGGUGGCGGAAUUCCCAGUGUAGAGGUGAAAUUCGUAGAUAUUGGGAAGAACACCAGUUGCGAAGGCGGCCACCUGGACCGGUACUGACGCUGAGGUGCGAAAGCGUGGGGAGCAAACAGGAUUAGAUACCCCGGUAGUCC
rnacentral:rRNA from 1 species